rnacentral:rRNA from 1 species
GAAUUGACGGGGGCCCGCACAAGCGGUGGAGCAUGUGGUUUAAUUCGACGCAACGCGAAGAACCUUACCCGGUCUUGACAUCUGCAGAAUUCUUCAGAGAUGGAGGAGUGCCGGUUUUACCGGAGCUGCAAGACAGGUGCUGCAUGGCUGUCGUCAGCUCGUGUCGUGAGAUGUUGGGUUAAGUCCCGCAACGAGCGCAACCCUUGUGAUUAGUUGCUACGCAAGAGCACUCUAAUCAGACUGCCGUUGACAAAACGGAGGAAGGUGGGGACGACGUCAAAUCAUCAUGCCCCUUAUGAUCUGGGCUACACACGUACUACAAUGGCCAUCAACAAAGGGAAGCAAAGCCGCGAGGCGGAGCAAAUCCCCAAAAAUGGUCCCAGUUCGGAUCGCAGGCUGCAACCCGCCUGCGUGAAGCCGGAAUUGCUAGUAAUCGCGGAUCAUCAUGCCGCGGUGAAUACGUUCCCGGGCCUUGUACACACCG